rnacentral:rRNA from 1 species
UGAGGAAUUUUGCGCAAUGGGAGCAAUCCUGACGCAGCAACGCCGCGUGAGUGAGGAAGGCCUUCGGGUCGUAAAGCUCUGUCAGAUGGGAAGAUAUGGGUGGGGGCUAAUAUCGUCCACCCUUGACGGUACCAUCAGAGGAAGCACCGGCUAACUCCGUG